rnacentral:rRNA from 1 species
CCUACGGGUGGCUGCAGUAAGGAAUAUUGGUCAAUGGAGGAAACUCUGAACCAGCCAUCCCGCGUGAAGGAUGAAGGGGCUCUGCCUUGUAAACUUCUUUUGUCUGGGGCGAAAAAGCUCGAUUUAUCGAGAACUGACGGUACCAGAAGAAUAAGCACCGGCUAACUCCGUGCCCGCCGCCGCGGUAAUACGGAGGGUGCAAGCGUUAUCCGGAAUCACUGGGUCGAAGGCGUGCGAGUAAGGCUGUGGUGAAAGGCUGGGGCUUAACCAUGGAAUUGCCAUUGAUACUGCAGAGCUUGAAUGAGGUUGAGGUUGGCGGAAUGUGACAUGUAGCGGUGAAAUGCUUAGAUAUGUCAUGGAACACCGAUUGCGAAGGCAGCUGACUGGACCUAUAUUGACGCUGAGGCACGAAAGCGUGGGGAGCGAACAGGAUUAGAUACCCCGGUAGUC